rnacentral:lncRNA from 1 species
AUUUCACUGACAAGCUUAUAAUUGAGAAUCAAGAGAAGCCUAGGACCUGGGGAGCCACGACCAGUCACCAUUGACACCUGUGGACCACCUUCAGCAUCCGUUCUGUACUUGGGAUGGGGGCUCCAAACAGACAACAAGUGGCCUCUUACAUCAGCUUAAAAUAGCCUCUUGCUCUGCCUGCCUUAUAGGAGCUGAUAAACUGAGUCUGGCUUCCAUUCUUUUGCACCCUUAGUGAAAAAAGAUGACUGUCCUUGGUUCAGGUGUUAGAAUGAAGAGCUGGAGCUUGCUCAGAAUAAUGUUAUGUAUUAUUGGGUCUUUUCUCCACCCCACCCCUCUUUUGUAUCUUAUCACCACUUGCAUAGAGCACCCCCACAUUUUGUUUCUUGGUUGACAAUAAAUAGAACUGUUUCACUAAAAAAAAGAAUAUGACACAGGUGGUAAAUUAGUAGACAAAGACAUUAAAACAGCUGUAUUAAGUAUGUUCCAUAUGUUCAAGAAAGUAGAAGAAGGAGUAAGCAUAUUAAGGAAAGAAAAAGAACAUUUUUUUAAAAAAUGAGCAAAAUUGAACUUCUUAAUCUGAAAAAUACAAUAUUUGAGAAGAAAACUCAGAACCGCUGUGGCAGUCAUAAUUUUUGCCACUAUUUCUACCAUUAGGAACGUCACUAAUGUAAAAUAAUAUUUUCAAUGGGUCUAAAAAUACUCCUUUUCAUAUAGAAAUCUCAAAACCACAUACCAAUGUGCAUCAAAACUAUCAAUGCAGAAUAGUGUUUGCAUAGUAAAAAUAUGUUAGCUGCACUUGCUAUUGGGUAUUUAUAAAGAAUAGAAGCAGCACACAGCCUUUUCUGUAUGCAAAACAUGUUAAGCCAAGCAUAACUUCUAUUCAGAAGAGUUUAAAAUCCAAUGAAGAAUAAAAAAUUGGGUUCUGAGACUUCAUUUUUAAACUUGGUGCAUGCAUAAAUUAAAGAAAAAACAUUUUAUAUGCACCACUUAGGACCCGGAAUAAAGCUAGAGACCCUUGCCAGGGUCCAUGGCAGCAGUAUUUCCACUUUGAGAGUGAGCUAAGGUUUGAAAUAUCUAACUUAAGAAAUAUGGUAAGAAGCAGCAGAAAAUUAAGCAAGAAGCUGAAGAAGACCAAAAGGAACUCUUAUAAAGAGUGGGAAUGUAAAAAAUGUGAGGACUAUGGUUUACAAGUACGUAUGAAUCUCCCUGACAGAGGGAGAGAAGGUGAUAACAUGAAAAUGCAAUUAAAUUCAACCAACAGUUAUUGAGUGCCUGUUACCUCAAGACACUGCGCCAAAUGAAGUACUCUCCCUUUCCUCCAGCAGCACGAAAUAUGAUGCAAGAGAUGAAUGCAGAUGCAUAAAUAAUUGUCUCAUAAGGCAGACUGAUAACUGCACUAAUGUAGACACAACAAGAGCUAACGGAGUACAGAGGAGUGAAAUAAUAACUGGAUCUUGGGGUUGGAAAAUGAGGGAAGACAACACAAAAGACAACAUUAGAAUGGUGUUCUAUCAGAUACAGGGGAUUUUACAAUAUAUAAAGGGGGGGUUCUGUGGUUAAUUUAAUCUCCCAUUUAAUUCCAUUUAUUUCCAAAAAAAUAAUAAUUCCACUUAUUUCCAUCCCAUUAAUUUCCAUUUAAUUUCCCCCCUCCCUCACCAUCAUUCCUUUUUUGUGGGUUUUUUUGUUUUGGUUUUGGUUUUGGUUUUGCCUCUCUCUGCCCUGCUUUAUAAUCUAUAGACCACAUCAUUUGACAAUCCUUGGUAGUUGGCUGGCUUUUAGUCGAAUUCAUCCAAUCAAAGAUAUCUGCCAGAGAUUAGAGGGCAAGAGGAGAGAGAGGUUGGGGUACUCACUGUCACCUCUCUGGUUCAGCACUGUGGUUUGGCAGUAGCUGCAACCUUCUCAGCCUACAGCUCCUACUCUUUCCCAUGGUCCCAGCUUUCACUGAGCUAUGGUGACAGUUUUUCAUCCCCUUGGCCCUUUGGGCCUUUAGGAUGUAAGAGCUUCCCACUCUGCUAGUGUCUAGGUGUCUUAAACAAUCUUGUGGCUUCCCUUUACCUUGACUGUGUCUCUUAAAUAGUCUCUUCAUCUAGACCAUCUGAGUUGAACCCAGUCUUAGAGAGUAGUAUAAGCAAAAGCAAGAAGGAACACAGUUCAUUAUUGAGGAACUGUGACUGCAUUACGGGGAACAUCAUAAAGUAGGAAUCUAGGGUAGAGGAGAGCAGUUUUAGAGAACUGGGGCUAGAUUAUGAGGGCCUUAUUAAGGAGUUUGGACUAUAUUCUUUGGUAAGAGAAAUCCAGUGGUAGUUGAGAGGCUACAAUCAGAUCUAUCUACUAGCAUGUAGAGGAUGGAAUGAAGAAGAAUAAGACUGAAGGCAGGGAAGCUAGGUAAGAAGUUAUUGCAAUAAGGUCCUAAAAUAGGGCACUGGAUGAUGGUAGUGAGAAUAGAUUUUAAAGUAGCCAGCAAUCAAAUCUAUAGGGCAUGGCAAAUAAAUGAAUUGAGGGAGGAAAGCCAAGGCAAUUUUUAAGGAUGGCUUCUAGUUCUCCAGCUUGGGAGAAUGGUAGCCCUAUAAACAAAGAGGAAGAGGUUCUUAGAAUUGGGAACAUCAGUUUCAUUUGAACCACCUAGAAAGUGAAGUGCUAUGGCACAUUAAGGCAAAGAGCUAAGAAAUUGGGUCUAUCCAUCAGCAAUAAUUUAAGAACUGGAGAUAAAAGCAUGUAUUAUAGAGCUAUGGUUCUUAGUCCUAGCAGUUCCUGAGAAUCAGCUGAGGAGCAUUCAUAAAGUAAAUUUCAGGGUCCAACCCCAGAUCAAUUAAAUCUGAUUUCUGGGUAGGAUCAGAAAUCAGACUUAAUGGGUGUGUAUUUAAUCAGAUUUCAUUGGAUUUAAUCUGGGUUUGGAUUUUUUUUUUAAGAUUUUAUUUAUUUAUUCAUGAGAGACACAGAGAGAGAGAGAGGCAGAGAGAUAGGCAGAGGGAGAAGCAGGCUCCAUACAGGGAGCCUGACGUGGGACUCGAUCCCAGGUCUCCAGAAUCACACUCUGGGCCGAAGGUGGUACUAAACCGCCAAGCCACAUGGUCUGCCCUGGGUUUGGAUUUUUAAACAGCUCCCUAGGUAAUUCUUAUUGCAUCCAGAUCAAGAGCAAGAUAGAAACAGCUAAGAAUGGAUGCUGCCAUGGGAGAUGAUAAAGAACACCCAUGAUAAAGAGUGGCCGAUAGAGAUAAAAACAGUAAGAAAAAUUGUAAUCAGGAGAGUGAAUAGACAGGUCACAUGCCAUGGACAGGUGGAAGAGGAAUGAGAAGAGGUCACUACAUCUGGUAAAUAGGUUAUUACUGAUCUCUGGGAAAGCAAUUUUAGUAACUGCAGAAGCCAGAUUGCAAGAAGCAAAGAGCAGAUUUUAGAUGAGGAACCAGAGGCAGGGUUGAAAGACUUCUCUUUCAAGAAGCUUGGUAUAGAAAGUAGGAGGAAAAAGCCAGUAGCUUAAGAAGAAAAGGACUGAGAGAACGCUUUCUUGGACUUUACAAUAGAGCAUGUAGCUGACUAAGGUAAGGAAACAUCAGAGAGGGAGAGAAUGAAAAUAUGCAGUGGAGGAGAAGUUAUCAGAAGACCUGGGCCGCAGAGGAACCUGGGAGUGGCAGAAGAUUAUCAGAAGAGUGGACCAAGCAAGGGAUACCAAAGAGAUAAGCUCUAAAUUGAGAAAGAUUGAGGGAGUGUGAGGCAUUGUUUUCAUAAUACAGUGAAAGGCAUGGGUGACUAGUGAAAGCAAAGGAGGUAGAUGGGAGAGGGGCGGAGAGAACAGUUCCUGAGAAUUUUCUGUGUGCCCGGCACCAUGCCGAAAUUCUACCAAGUUACCUCAUCUGGUAAUUUGAUGUAUUUCUGAAGGACAAAUGUCACAUGGGAUAAGAAGCAAAAAUUAGGCCUGUUCUGCCCGAUUUCAGCCAUCCAGUCACCUUGCUCCUGUGGUACCAUUACUAAUUAAUGGCCCUUUAAAGCUUAACCUGCAAUCUGUUUUAAGUUAAAUGCUCAUUUCUAGCUGAAUAGGAAGAGAUUUCAGCUAUGAUAAUAUUUCCUUAGUUCAGUUAAAGGGAAGAGCCAUGGAAGAACAUUUUAAAGAAAGAGAAAAAGCCUAUUAUUAAGAACGCUCCAUUAGCGAGGGCAAAGAAAGAUGGGGUUUUAUAAAGAUACUGUGCAAUGGCCCAAGAUAAUGGCAAUUAAUAAAUAUUUAGGAAGUGGAAUUAACCUGCAUAUUUUUAAGGUCUCCUUUUAAAUGAAAAAAAAAAUGCUAACUUUAGGUUUAGAUUACAAAUCCAUCAAGGGCUAGGACUGUGCCACCUCUUUCUGUGAUGCCUGGGCAACUGCAUGGGCUCAGGGGAUACCAACUAAGUAUCCCCUGAGUCAUCCUACAUCACCAGAGCUCCGCCUACAACAUUAUUAUCCAUGCCACAUGGUACAGACAAGCAGGCCAGCAAGGUAACUAAAUGGCUUCCAAUCUUCCAGAUACAGACGGAGCCUCUAGGUGGGAAAACUCAUGACGUUGGCUAUCCUUUUCUCUCAGAAACAUUCUCCAAAAUUGGAAUCAGUAAAUUCAGAAGUAGCGGCCAAGGGUUUUCUUCAUUGACAUUCCAGUGAACCAAGUUGGGGAAUGGGCAUAGAUGAAAAGAAAAGCAGGAAACUUGACCAACCUGUCUGAAUAAGCCUUGGGGAGACCCAGAGGGAUGAUCCUUCAGAUGCCAGAAAUCCAGUGGGAGGAGAGGUGGGGUAGGGUUGAAGAGGGCUGGGUUGAACUCAGGGUAGCACCCCUAUGUGGCUCUCCACAAUUUCAACACCAAACUACUAUAAAUUGUUUCUCAUUUAUUACUUAUGCCUACCCUGCUUACAAAACACAAGUUUCAGAUGAUCAGGCCUCCCUCUCUUAAAUCCAGAAAGUAUGCAGCUUUUAAGUUCUGUGGAAACUGGAUCCUAGUUUAUAUCAUUCACCACUAUGAUCAUAGAUCUAAGCACAUAAAGUAGUUAGUACUCGCUAGAUAUUUAUUGAAUGUUUGAAUUUGUACAUAUGAUCCUGUCUUCUCAUGUUUCUACAUAUUAUUUACAUUUGUUUUAAAACUUCCUUGUAAAGUGUUUUUAAAAGUAUUACUGGAAGUGUUUUAACAUAGGUGUACUGCAGAAGUGAUACUCUGAAACUCCAGAGCUUUCUGUCCGCUGUCUCCUAAAUAAAUAGCUUUUCAAAGUGUUGUAGCUGGAAGGCCAUCAAGAAUUGUAUCACCUGACAUUUACUUAAUGCAUUUCUUUAGGGGAGUCUCCAUUUCUCUCCUAGAGUCUCCCAGAGUUCUCUAUUACAUCCUGGGCAGGUAGAUACAAGGCAAACAUUUUCAUUUCAUCUCCAUUCUAAAAGGUCAAAAAGAUGAUAGAAAUAGAACCCACACCUUUGGCUUUCUUGCAGAUUUCCUCCUACUUAACCUUUAUCCAAACAUCGCCUUCCUCUUGGCCUCUUCCUUAGCAGUUCAUCUUCUUAAUCAUGAUCAUGCCAGUCUGGUAAGGUGAAUCCUAAACUAUAAUAACAAGAAUAGUAAACAUAAUUUUAUAUAGGAUCUUUUAUACAGCUCCAUUACAGAAUGCUGUGCCAACUUAAGAGUUGUAGAAUUACAGAGUGGCACUACUAAAUUAAGUAAUAAGUAACAGCAGAUACUAAUAAUUAGCUUAAUUUAUGGUCUAGCAGAACUGUCACAACUGAGGCAGCUCUCCUUCCGCCCCUCAUCUCCCUGACUUUUCUUCCUCCCUCCUCCUUUGGCAAUAGCAACCAAAUGAAGUGCUGAGAUUGUCAUGUUAUCAUAAAGUCAAGUCACUUCUUCCCUUACUCUUAGCUUUAUGACCUUAUUAUAUCAAGAAUUUCCAACCUUUUUUGAGUUACAUCACGCUAUCAUUGUUUAAUUUCACAACUGCUUCUCUUAAUGGCAUGCACUUGGUGGGAAGGGCAUACCAGGAUGAAUUGAAAUCUCUUGAGAAUCUGCAACAACUUCAGAAAGGCUCUUGGUUUUUGCAAAAUCAGGGUUGGCAAUGACUCCUCUACGUACAUGGUAACCUUGUAAAGAGGGUUCUCCUCUCCACUUAAACCAAGGAGCUAAAAAUCAAACACAUUAGAAAGGCGAUAUGGGGUCACAUGGCAAAAGUUGGGAAUGACUGUUUUUCCAGUAUCUGUGCAUGGUAGCUUUCCAUGGACACUCUGACCUCACUGGUAAUUGGAAAGAAUUUAAGAACGUUCUUAUAUGAACUCGACCUAAAAACUCAUGCAGCUUAGAUUUAACACAGAAUACCCAUUUUAACACAUUUAUUAAUCACUUACCUCUCUAUAUACUGACCCCCAGCUUCUAUGUUCUGAAGCAGGAAUAUGGGCCUACUGUACAACCGAAAUAAUGUAACCUGGUGACCAAACAUUCCAGGGCCAACAAAGCUGCUCCCUCUGUAAGAUAUAUUCUUGUGGCCAAAUCGAAUUAGGACUUGGAGGCUUUUCAAAUCGUCUGCUGCAGAAUGAGGGGUAAGUGUCAGUGUCCUCUAUGCUCUGAUAAAAUUGCCAACUUACCUGAACAAAAUGUAUCUCAACAACACUCCAUGCUGGGGAGGGGGCCCUGAGCAGGAAGCAGCACGAAAUAUUUUAUGUAUCUUUUAUUAUUGCAUAAAAGUGAUUAACAAUUUAGUCCUAGGUUAAGACAUCAAAACAAUUAAAAUGAACAUAAAAAUCCAACAUUGCAAAGUCUUCUGGAGUACUUGAGAGUAAAUGACGUAUUCAUCUCCCCCCCACCAGCCGCCUCCCGCGAUUCCCCCCACCCCCCCCACCGCAUGAAACUCUUCACAGGAACUCAUGUUUCUAAUACCUCCUAAAGUAUGUUGAGGUGACAGAUGGGCUGAGGUCUGAGUCCCAUCAAGCUUGGAGUUUUGUGUUUUUGUUUUUUGUCAGGGGAAAGAGGUUUCUUUGUUUUCCUAAAGAUGAGCUUGUCCACUAUAAAAGAAAAUUGGUGCUCUUUAACUGUGGGCUGAACCAAGAGAGAUUUCCCUUUCUUGCCUCUUGCCACCAUGUAUUUUUUCUGAUUUGGUUUGGCUAACAUCACAACCAAAACAGAAGCCUUCCUGACGACUGUCCUCCCAAUUCCACUGCCCUGAAAUAUCUGCUAGAGAAAUGAUUCAUUGUGUAAAGCCAUGUUUGGCAAAUAGAAUAGGAAAUGUCUGUUUGCAGAGAGUUCUUUGGUUUUAUCCUUUGUUUUCCCAGAAUGAACACAGGCCCUUUCAGAUUCUUAAACUCAAAGAGGGUCGAAAUCCUUCUCUACAAGUUAGUGUUUGACAAUCAUGAAUUUAAAUCCACUGGCAUCGUUUCCUUGCCACAAGGCUCUCUGAACCAAUUUCAUCAUCUGUAAAAUGGGGCCAAGUCUAGUGAGAGCAGUUGGCACUCCUGCCCCAUCCUUGCUAUUCACUUCCAGUCCUUGCGAUUAACAGCCUGAAUUUUACUGCCUAUAUUAUUUACCACAUGUAGCAACUAGUUUAAUUAUGACAAUAGGAGUUGAUAGGAAAUCAUUUUUUGGAAGUAAUUUGGCUCCUUUUGAACUUAUCUGGGCUCAUUUCAGAGGUUGUUUCCAAGAAAAUAGACAAAGACCAGUGUUCUCAGUCCUCCUUGAGCCUUGGGACCUCUCACCUUCCAAUUUAACAAAUGACCCUGGGUGUUUAUUUAUUAGUGACUGAAGAGCCUUUGUAAACCAAUUACCAUGAGCAAACAGCAUUUAUUGUAAAGCAAUAAACAACAAUAAACCUUGCCCUCAUCUAAAUUCAUUGCCCUAAACCACAGACCGCAGGGAACAGUUAGGUUUAAAACUCACAGUUGGUUAAGAUUGAAGAUUUAUAGGCACUCCAGUCCAGCUCUCCUUGGGGAGCCAACAUUGCCGGAGCACCAAGUCUGGAAGGCCAAAUAACCUACAUCAGGGUCACCUAUGGUCUUUCACUGGGGGCAGGGGAGUAAAGGGAGAAGAAAAAAUUCUUUUCUUUUCAAAUUAUCUUUUUCCCAGGACAUAGGAGUAUGCAGCACAUUACAAUUUCUCCUCCAGGUAUAUUAACCAAUAAAGUAAAUGGAAAAAUCAUUGUUGCCAAGUUAUACAUGGCAGAUUGAACACUCAUAGGUAUCUCUAUUCUUAUAAAACAAUUCAGCAAAAAAAAUUUGGGGGGAAUGCGUGGGUGGCUCAAUGGUUGAGUGUCUGCCUUCGGCUUAGGGUGUGUUCCGCGGGUUCCUGGAUUGAGUCCCACUUCGGGCUCCCCUUGAGGAGUCUGCUUCCCCCUCUGCCUAUGUCUCCACCUCUCUCUGUGUGUCUCUCAUGAAUAAAUAAAUACAAUCUUUUAAAAAAUAUUUUUAAUGGCAUAAGCCCACAAAGACUAAAAGAGCACUAGACAAACACACAGCAAAAGAAAGAAAUAACCAAUAUUUGGAGUAAGUUGAAAUCUAAACAUCCUGGAGAAACAAAUCAAUCUGUCUUAGAAUCCCAGAAACUCAGAUGCUGAGGGCAAUGGGUACCUCCAAGGGUCAGAGUUCUGGGCAGACCUGAAAACAGAGGGAUUGGUUGAGCAUUUAAAUAAAACCCAUUUAGAUCACUUCUAGUCCCCACCCCUACCCCCACCACUGUCCGCCAGGAUCAUAUUCAGGAGAGGGAUACCAGACACUUUGAAGAGGGGUGGAAAGUGGUCCUGAAGAUAGUCUGCACACUGCCUGCUUCCCACAACUGGAUUAAAGUACAUCAACAGCUGGGCUUAUAGCAACAAACUGAAGGAUUUUUCUCUGAGAAAGUGGACAAGCCCAAGAAAAAUUGAAGUCCCACUAGUUACUCAGAUCAUAGCUAGGGUGACCAGAUUUAGCAAAUAAAAAUACAAGAAUGUGCAAGUAUACUUAAAUUUUAGAUAAAUAACAGAUAAUUUCUUCACAUAAAUAUGUCCCGUGCAGUAUCAGAGGCAUGCUUAUAUUAAACAAUUAUCUAUUUUGUAUCUGAAAAUCAAAUUGAACUGGGCAUCCUACAUUUUAUCUGGCAUCUCUGUCCCCAACCCCAAAUUCCAGUUGGCUUCUUGGUGCCCCAUUCUUAUACAGAAACACUGGCUAAGGACCAUCAGAUGGUUCUGUUGGAGGAAAGACAGAGAGGUCAAAACCAACAAGGACAUGCAGAAGAAAGAGAAACAAUGAAGGAAAAGGAAAGAAUUA